UUACAUUUUAUUUCUAUUUAAAAAUGAAGUUAACACGGUUUUUACUUUGCGUUUUUGCUUUCGUUUUAAAUAUUUUUAUCGCAUCAGCUGGGCUUCCUAACCCAUUGGGAUUCAUUGAUGACGCUAAAGAUGGAUUGGAUGGAGGCGCAGAGAUGGCUGAAUCAGCUAUAGAUGCAUUCGGAGAUAUUGUGCCUUGACAGAAAAUAUACUUACUGGCUUUAUUAAAUCCUAAAACCAUUAUAUUCUUUGUUUACUUCAAUAUGCAGAACAUAUACAUAUAUGAAAUUACUAAUAUCACAACCGAAAGUGUAUUACCAUUCUCCUCUGAGAAGCUUUAAUUUAUUAUUAAAGGAUUCAAACAAAAACCUUCCGGUAAAUGAAGGAAUUUUAAUAAAACUACAUUCAAAUAUCUGAUUACAUUAAGUAUUAAAAAUACCUAUACCUUAUAAAAUCUUUGAUUCGGGAAGUUUCUUUUCGUUCCGAUCAAUAACAUACAUGCAAUUUUAUGUUUAUUUGAUUUACUAGAAAAACCAAUUCCUAUGUUACGACAUCUGUUUUUUGUUAUAUUUUUAUUUAUCUACGUAGAUGCAAACUAUGUUAAUAAAACUAUGACAAAACCUGGACGUGUAAGGUUCUAUCCACGAAAUUCUGUAUUUCGAAAGUCAGACCUCAUUGACAGAGGUUGUUCUGUUUUCUUAAAGGAAUGUCCAGCAGCUUAUAAGAGAAAUUCAGUCUGCGCCCGACACUAUGAUGGUCAAUACAAAACAUUUUCGAAUUAUUGCGUGCUUGAAUAUGAAAAUUGUAAUGCAUGGAGACAAUGGAGUAUGGUGAAAAAUGAGCGCUGUUGAUUGCUAAUUUAAAUUGUAAGAUGUUUCUUAUCUCGUAAUAGAAUUUGAAAAAAUUAUUUUUUAUUUAGUAAAAGAAAUUCCUUUCAUAAAUAAUAAAAACACAUUAAUUUUUCCAUUAACAGAAAAAAUAUUUAAUAAUAACAGGAUGAUAAGUACUAAUUAAUAAGAAACAAUUUUAUUUUGUAUUCUAAUCCCUAAUGGAAUCGCGUGUAGACAUAAAUAGGCUUUAUAAGUGCACUGGUUUGUUUAAUGUUGGCGGAAUCGUUUUCUUAAAUGAAACAAAGCACUGUUGAUGACGUCAUAUUUCCUACAAAGAUAUGGUAGUUCGGGGAAAUAUCCUCAGACCAUCGAGGUUGAGUGGGUAUCAUUUGGGUAAAUUGCAAGCACAAAAGACGUGAACUAUUUUCGUCACAUCGUCUCCUCUCAACACUACAAUGCUCCACUGAAUACUCAAUCAGAACUGUCUUGCGUUCUCUGUUCACAUUGUCAAAAGUCAAGAUUGCGUCUCAAGGCAUUUUCUGCUCUGAUUUGUUGUGAAGAAAUUUUUGUACUUUUAUUCGAUUUGGCCUCCGGUG